GACGUAGGGCGCGAGCGUUGUCCGGAUUUAUUGGCGUAAAGGGCUCGUAGGCGGUUUGUCGCGUCGGGAGUGAAAACUCAGGGCUCAACCCUGAGCGUGCUUCCGAUACGGGCAGACUAGAGGUAUGCAGGGGAGAACGGAAUUCCUGGUGUAGCGGUGGAAUGCGCAGAUAUCAGGAGGAACACCGGUGGCGAAGGCGGUUCUCUGGGCAUUACCUGACGCUGAGGAGCGAAAGCAUGGGGAGCGAACAGG
rnacentral:rRNA from 1 species